rnacentral:rRNA from 1 species
GAGUUUGAUCUUGGCUCAGGAUGAACGCUGGCGGCGUGCUUAGCACAUGCAAGUCGAACGAAGCACUCAGGAGCGAUUUCGGUCAAGUCCUGUUUGACUGAGUGGCGGACGGGUGAGUAACCGCGUGAGGUAACCUACCUCGCAGUGGGGAAUAACAGUUGGAAACGACUGCUAAUACCGCAUAAUGCAGAGGAGACCGCAUGAUCUUUC